rnacentral:lncRNA from 1 species
UCCGAGUUCAAAUCUCGGUAGAACCUUUAUUUAAUAAAACAUUUUUCUUAUAUGUAUUAACUGUUAGUCAUCACUGUGAUCACAGAAAACAAAGCUCUGCCCAAAAACAAUAUAACGUGGUCGCAAAACGUAUAUCCUUUAUAUUUUAACCCAUCUUUGGGAUCGCUUUAUCAGCAGAAUCGAAUUCUUGAGAAAAGGGCUAGAUAAACUAAUGCUUUAUUCAUUCCAUCAAUUAAAUACACGAUGUAGUUCAGUCCUCACGUUUUCCUUAACUUUUCACCAGUCACGUUGUGGGAUUCGAUUCAUUGUGCCGCCGAGACUUGAAGUCGGAUCGCAGCAUUCAGAGUCCUGAGUGCUAACCAUUACACCAUGGAACCUGUAGUCUGAGCAGGUAGAUGUCGCACAUAAACUUAUAUCAAUAAAAAGUCUCAUAUAAUUUUGAUCGAAUAUAUUUCACAUGUUAUGUAUAUAUUGCUACAUGGAUUUAUCUGUUUCAGUUAUGGUGAUUUUCUGUUGCCAUGGGUAUUGAAGUAUGUUCGGGUACGAAAGACGGGAGACAUGCAAAGUGUGGUUGUGAUUUAUAUUCUAAAUAUUAUGGUGAUUUUCUGUUGCCAUGGGUAUUGAAGUAUGUUUGGGUACGAAAGACGGGAGACAUGCAAAGUGUGGUUGUGAUUUAUAUUCUAAAUAUUAUGGUGAUUUUCUGUUGCCAUGGGAAUUGAAGUAUGUUCGGGUACGAAAGACGGAAGACAUGCAAAGUGUGGUUGUGAUUUAUAUUCUAAAUAUUAUGGUGAUUUUCUGUUGCCAUGGGAAUUGAAGUAUGUUCGGGUACGAAAGACGGAAGACAUGCAAAGUGUGGUUGUGAUUUAUAUUCUAAAUAGUGAGUGGGAAUAGUGGUUCAGGACUAUUCACGUGAUACCAUUUAUGUUCACGUGCUAUUUUUUUCUUUUCUUAUAUGUUACGAGACAGUGCAGCCAUCGUUUCAUUAUGGCAUUUUUGUUUUGUUUUGUUGAACCAUUAUUCAUGUGUGAUUUUUGAAUGUGCGAAAAUGGAAUAAUACAUCUACUUGUUUGUACCAAUCCUAUACAUUCUUGCUUGUUUAUUUCUGGUACGAAUUUAAGUGAGAGAAAUAAAUAAUUUAUGUUUGGCCUAAAUGAAAUGAAAAGAAAACAAAAAUACAUGUUAUGAUAUAAUUUAUAUUUAUAGUACAUGCACGUAGUGAUUAAUCUUCUCACAAAUAAUGUAUUUAUUUCCAUAAAAAUAUAAGGUUCCACCGAGACUUGAACUCGGAUC